GUUGAGACAUUAAAUUUGUGAUAACUCAACUGAAAAUCUAAAUCACAAAAUCAGGAAAAAAAAAUCUAACACACCAAAUGGCUUCUUGUACAAAUAUUGGCACAAAAUAUAUAAUAAAUAUUCUUUUCUUGCAUGCAAGUACACAUAGAAGACAGCCAACUUCAUCAAAUUAUUAAGACCAGAGUAUAACUAAGUGGGGAUAUUCAAUUAACUGAAGAGAAGAAUAUAUUAAAACCUUUAUGUGAGAACAUGCAAAGAUAGUAAAGACUUUAGUUGUAAUAACCAACAAAUGACAAAGUUAACUUAGUUGUAAUAACCAAUAAAAUUUUAAACCAUUCUAUUAUCUUAGGCAGUGGGUCACUUCAAUGGUUGUGCAAUAAAUUGAUUGUAAGAUUUUAAAUCAUAAUGCCGAAACUUGUUAACGGCAACGUUCAAUGAAUGUUGCUGAAACUAAUUAACGGCAACGUUCAAAGAACGUUGCUAAAACAUCUACAGCAACAUGCAUUGCACGUUGCCAAAAAAAAAAACAACGGUCUUUGAACGUUGUGAAAUGGUGUAUUAGCAACAACCACUCAAAAAACGUUGCUAAAUCUUCAUUUUCUCAACCAAUGGCAACAUGCAUUUGCUGAAUGUUGCAAUAAAGACCUUUUAGCAACAUACAAUUGGUGAAUGUUGCCAUUUAUAUGUUGCCAAAUGCCAUUUUUCUUGUAGUGGUAGAAACUUUAUUAGACAUAUUAAUAAAAAUAUAAAGAUUUUAGAAACUAAUCUCGAGUAUGCUAAAAAUCAAAAUACCGAAGAAAACACAAAGUACACUAUCACACUUGUACUAAAAAAUCUCUCCACCAUCUUUAUAAAUUCAAAGACAUCCUAAUAAAUUCAAAGACUUCGUAAUUAAAGUAAGUUUUUUUCAUAUCUUCUCUUGCUUAUAAUUUUCUUUACUUUAAUUAUUUUUCAGGCAAGGCCUAAAAGGGUAAACACCAAGAAAGUAAUUAAUUUAUUUACGAAUAAUAUUUUAUUUCUGUUUCAAAAAUAUAUUUUUAACGCUCUUCAUUUUGGAGUCCAUGGCCAAAAGAUAAAGUAAUCCUUUGAGUUAAGUUGGCUAAUUUGUGUCCCAAUUGUGAGAGUUUGUUAAAGUCAUUUUAAACAUGAUAAAGACCUUUUUGCUACAGUCUUAAGCCUUCUUUAAAAAGUUAAGAAAAAAGCUAAGAAAGACUUAAAAAAAAAGGCUGAAGAUAAUUUUAUUGUUAUUUGAAAAUUGAAAUACAAAUAUUGAAAUGAAAUUUGAAUUACACGAUUGAAAGAUAAAGAUAGUAAAAGAAUACAAAGAUUUCUCAAACUAUCUUAAGAAUGCUCCCGCUAAAUCAACUCUCUUUUGAGAACUACACUCAAUUAGUUCUGAGGGGAAUUUUAAACACUUGAUCUGCUUUUAUGCUUGAAAUCUUAAGCUGUGAACUUAAAAAUUUCUUUAAUUUAGAGACGGAAUAGUUGCAUCUUUUGAAACUUUUUCACCAUCUAUUCUUCAUUUUGAAAAGAAGACAUCAACUUUAGUCAUUACUUUUGACUUUGUCUCCUUGAUUGAAUAUCACUUUUUGAAUUUGUUCACCACCUUUUGGUAAUGAAAGAAAUU
rnacentral:lncRNA from 1 species